GCCCGAUUAGCUCAGCUGGUUAGAGCGUCGUACUAAUAUUCAUCUGUGAAUAUUAAGUAAUGCGAAGGUCAACAGUUCAAUCCUGUUAUUGGGCA
rnacentral:tRNA from 1 species